rnacentral:rRNA from 1 species
GGCCUAUCACCUUGUUGGUGGGGUAAUGGCCUACCAAGGCGUCGACGGGUAGCCGGCCUGAGAGGGUGGACGGCCACAUUGGGACUGAGACACGGCCCAGACUCCUACGGGAGGCAGCAGUGGGGAAUAUUGCACAAUGGGCGCAAGCCUGAUGCAGCGACGCCGCGUGGGGGAUGAAGGCCUUCGGGUUGUAAACUCCUUUCAGCCAUGACGAAGCUGGCCUUGUUGGGUCAGUGACGGUAGUGGUAGAAGAAGCACCGGCUAACUACGUGCCAGCAGCCGCGGUAAUACGUAGGGUGCGAGCGUUGUCCGGAAUUACUGGGCGUAAAGAGCUCGUAGGUGGCUUGUCACGCCGUCUGUGAAUUCCGGGGCUUAACUCCGGGCGUGCAGGCGAUACGGGCAUAACUUGAGUACUGUAGGGAGACUGGAAUUCCUGGUGUAGCGGUGAAAUGCGCAGAUAUCAGGAGAACACCGAUGGCGAAGGCAGGUCUCUGGGCAGUUACUGACGCUGAGGAGCGAAGCAUGGGUAGCGAACAGGAUUAGAUACCCUGGCAGUCCAUGCCGUAACGGUGGGCGCUAGGUGUGGGGUCUUCCACGACUUCCGUGCCGUAGCUAACGCAUUAAGCGCCCCGCCUGGGGAGUACGG